rnacentral:lncRNA from 1 species
AGGCAGAGGGAGAAGCAGGCUCCAUGCACCGGGGGCCGACGUGGGAUUUGAUCCCGGGUCUCCGGGAUCGCGUCCUGGGCCAAAGGCAGGCGCCGAACCGCUGCGCCACCCAGGGAUCCCCCAAGUCUCUUUCUAAAGAAGCUUAAUUUCAGCAGCAACAUGGAGGCGGCANCGACGUGGGAUUCGAUCCCGGGUCUCCGGGAUCGCGCCCUGGGCCAAAGGCAGGCGCCAAACCGCUGCGCCACCCAGGGAUUCCCCAAGUCUCUUUUUAACGAAGCUUAAUUUAAGCAGAAACAUACAGGAGGAGGAAAAUGUCAGCUACCCCAUGAAGGAGGCACCCAGAGAGAAUGUACACUGACCAUCCACUGCUGAGGGCCGUGAACAUUCCAGUAUAUCUCCCCAAUACCUGCCAUCCUGGCCUUCUGUCUUUUAAGCGGGUGACUGUCAAUGGGGAAUGGAGCCCUAUCAGGAAAGCACAUUUUUCUCUCAAAUAUCUUGAUGAAAUGCAACAGACUGUCUCAGGAAACUUUGUCCCUCCUGCCUAUAAUCCCUGGGAGAUGAUGUAUGAGCAUUCUGGACCCAGCCUCCGGAAACUACGCCUAGGAAAAUAACAAACUGAGAGGCCUCUACCCUAGCUGUGCUGGACUGGAUAACACAGCCUCAGAGGCCUGUGGAAAGGAUGACCUCCUCUGCCUGUCUGGCCCCUUUCUGCCAUGGCUGAGGCUCCCUGAAUCUGCUUGACUUGGCCACGGUCAAAUUCCAGGAAGUGUGAGUGAGGGCAUAGAGAGAAGAUUUGGUCUAGUUCUAAUCACCUCUGUGUGGGCCACAUCUCGGAUGGAGAUAGACAAGGCUCUAAUUCUCAACCAUGCUUUUUGUUUUUGUUUUAUAAACACUUGCCAAGUAGGGGUGCUUGGAU